UGCGUGUCCUUCCGGAAGACUGAAGCGAUGGCGAGCGUCUACUUCGGAAACCUUUUGGUUCAUCAUCAACAUUACAGACAUGAAGUCGAAUUACAGAAUUAUAGAGAUAGACGAGACUCCAAAGUAGCUGCUAAAAAGAUAUCGACAAUUAUCGGGACGUUCAAUCGCACGAAACACGCGAGAAGAAAACGAUAGAAACAAAUGCCGAACAAAAUUUCUGGAAAAAAAAAUUCACGUGUACUUCUCACGUUGGGAGAGGCGGCGAUAUACGAAGGCGAGAGAAGAAGUCGAAAGGUGGUGGAGCACCGAGCCGGGUGGUUGCCCGGAACGGACUGAAAUGUUUCAGCGAAGGAAUUGAAGCUGUGGGAGGAUAGAGGCGGGCGGAAGUUGAGGUGGUGCAGCGCGUAGAGGGUGAAACGAGGAACAGGAAGAGGGUGGUACGAAGCUACGUGCCUUUAUAGAACGAGGCUCCUAUAGACGCGACUCAUCGAUCUACGGAGAGAGAGGAGUCUGAAGAAAGAAAUUUUGUUACAGGCUAAUGGUUUACGUGCACGGAAACGUUUAGGUAUUAUCGUACCGGCGACGUCGUCGACCAACCUGUCCUCGUCGGAAUCUACAUAAAUAUUUCGAACGCAGAAAGAAUUAUUUUAAAAGCCGUGUGGCGUGACAAAUAAAAUGAAGACAAACAAA